rnacentral:rRNA from 1 species
UACGUAGGGUGCAAGCGUUGUCCGGAAUUAUUGGGCGUAAAGAGCUCGUAGGCGGUUUGUCGCGUCUGCUGUGAAAACUCAGGGCUUAACUCUGAGCUUGCAGUGGGUACGGGCAGACUAGAGUGCGGUAGGGGAGACUGGAAUUCCUGGUGUAGCGGUGAAAUGCGCAGAUAUCAGGAGGAACACCGGUGGCGAAGGCGGGUCUCUGGGCCGUAACUGACGCUGAGGAGCGAAAGCGUGGGGAGCGAACAGG